rnacentral:rRNA from 1 species
GGUGAGUAACACGUGGGUAACCUGCCCAUAAGAGGGGGAUAACAUCCGGAAACGGGUGCUAAUACCGCAUAGUUUUUUUGAUCACAUGAUCGAGAAAGGAAAGACGGCCUUUGUGCUGUCGCUUAUGGAUGGACCCGCGGCGUAUUAGUUAGUUGGUGAGGUAAUGGCUCACCAAGACGAUGAUACGUAGCCGACCUGAGAGGGUGAUCGGCCACAUUGGGACUGAGACACGGCCCAAACUCCUACGGGAGGCAGCAGUAGGGAAUCUUCCGCAAUGGACGAAAGUCUGACGGAGCAACGCCGCGUGAGUGAAGAAGGUUUUCGGAUCGUAAAACUCUGUUGUCAGAGAAGAACAAGGAAAAGAGUAACUGCUUUUCCCUUGACGGUAUCUGACCAGAAAGCCACGGCUAACUACGUGCCAGCAGCCGCGGUAAUACGUAGGUGGCAAGCGUUGUCCGGAUUUAUUGGGCGUAAAGCGAGCGCAGGCGGUUCUUUAAGUCUGAUGUGAAAGCCCACGGCUC